rnacentral:rRNA from 1 species
ACACAUGCAAGUCGAGGGGCAGCAUGGUCUUUUCUUGCUAAGGCCGAUGGCGACCGGCGCACGGGUGAGUAACGCGUAUCCAACCUGCCUUACACUCUUGGACAGCCUUCUGAAAGGGAGAUUAAUACAAGAUGUUAUCAUGAGUAAGCAUUUUCGCAUGAUUAAAGGUUUACCGGUGUAAGAUGGGGAUGCGUUCCAUUAGAUAGUAGGCGGGGUAACGGCCCACCUAGUCUUCGAUGGAUAGGGGUUCUGAGAGGAAGGUCCCCCACAUUGGAACUGAGACACGGUCCAAACUCCUACGGGAGGCAGCAGUGAGGAAUAUUGGUCAAUGGACGAGAGUCUGAACCAGCCAAGUAGCGUGAAGGAUGAAGGUUCUAUGGAUUGUAAACUUCUUUUAUACGGGAAUAAACGAAUCCACGUGUGGAUUUUUGCAUGUACCGUAUGAAUAAGGAUCGGCUAACUCCGUGCCAGCAGCCGCGGUAAUACGGAGGAUCCGAGCGUUAUCCGGAUUUAUUGGGUUUAAAGGGAGCGUAGAUGGGUUGUUAAGUCAGUUGUGAAAGUUUGCGGCUCAACCGUAAAAUUGCAAUUGAUACUGGCAGUCUUGAGUACAGUUGAGGUAGGCGGAAUUCGUGGUGUAGCGGUGAAAUGCUUAGAUAUCACGAAGAACUCCGAUUGCGAAGGCAGCUUACUAACCUGUAACUGACAUUGAUGCUCGAAAGUGUGGGUAUCAAACAGGAUUAGAUACCCUGGUAGUCCACACGGUAAACGAUGAAUACUCGCUGUAGGCGAUAUACAGUCUGCGGCCAAGCGAAAGCAUUAAGUAUUCCACCUGGGGAGUACGCCGGCAACGGUGAAACUCAAAGGAAUUGACGGGGGCCCGCACAAGCGGAGGAACAUGUGGUUUAAUUCGAUGAUACGCGAGGAACCUUACCCGGGCUUAAAUUGCAACCGAAUAUGGCGGAAACGCUAUAGCUAGCAAUAGCGGUUGUGAAGGUGCUGCAUGGUUGUCGUCAGCUCGUGCCGUGAGGUGUCGGCUUAAGUGCCAUAACGAGCGCAACCCUUGCCGAUAGUUACUAACAGGUCAUGCUGAGGACUCUGUCGGGACUGCCAUCGUAAGAUGUGAGGAAGGUGGGGAUGACGUCAAAUCAGCACGGCCCUUACGUCCGGGGCUACACACGUGUUACAAUGGGGGGUACAGAGGGCUGCUACCACGCAAGUGGAUGCCAAUCCCAAAAACCUCUCUCAGUUCGGAUUGAAGUCUGCAACCCGACUUCAUGAAGCUGGAUUCGCUAGUAAUCGCGCAUCAGCCACGGCGCGGUGAAUACGUUCCCGGGCCUUGUACACACCGCCCGUCAAGCCAUGGGAGCCGGGGGUACCUGAAGUGCGUAACCGCAAGGAGCGCCCUAGGGUAAAACUGGUGACUGC